rnacentral:rRNA from 1 species
UAAAUGACUCUCGGCAACGGAUAUCUCGGCUCUCGCAUCGAUGAAGAACGUAUCGAAAUGCGAUACUUGGUGUGAAUUGCAGAAUCCCGUGAACCAUCGAGUCUUUGAACGCAAGUUGCGCCCCAAGCCUUUAGGCCGAGGGCACGCCUGCCUGGGUGUCACAC